GCCCGUGGCCUGGGGCCGUAGCCGUGGCCUGGCCCCCAGAGAACUUCCCCGUGGUUUACCUGCAGUCACUGUCUUUCGGAACAGGAUGGGGUUGGCCACUAGGACGAGCAGCAGAGGCAAGUACGUGGUGACGUAGUGGGGGAUGGCAUGCUCCAGACCCCUCUCACACCUGAGGGAGGAAAGCCGGGUCAUUCUCGGGGAAAAAACGGGGCUUUGCCUGAGAUGCGCCGACUUAUCUGCAAGUCGAGAUAAGAGGACCAGAUCGAAGAGGGAAAGACACAGAUCGACUUCUGACUCUGCCCGAAGGAAACCUGACUCAUGUCUCACGUCUGCGGACAAGCGAUAAAUCACAGAAGAAAAAGGAGGAUCCAUCAUGGUUCUGCUUGUCUCGUAAAUCAGGGAGCUUUUAAAGUUCCCUGCUGGGAAAAGGUGAAGAGAGGAAAAGGCUCUCUGGGGUGGUGGAUUCCCGCCCCCCAACUCCCCCGCUGGGUCUCUCAAACAAGUGGGUCUCCCCCCACUUGUCUUUCAAGCAAGACAAAGGCAUUCUAUGAACCAGCUGGUUUUCAGCACUUUCUACAUACGUGCUAAGCCUGGCUGACAUCACGAAUAAGAUCCAAGCUCUGUCCUCGACCAACUCAAAAUACCCAAGCCUCACGCUGCACAGGAUAUCUGUUCUCAUGGUGACAGAUAAUCAUUUCACUGGUUCUUUUCAGGGAGAAGGACCAGGAUUUCUACUGAUGGGUCUUGAGAAUCAUCCGUCGCCACAGGACACGGUGGAGUGCCACACACAGCUGGUUUUGAUUGUGGCUGGAUCUAAGGGCUGGGCUUCUGUCGGGAUCCAUGACAGGCAGACGGGCGCUGCACUGCCAGAUGGAAGCAGAGCCUUUAACCAAGAGCUGCAAGUGCCACUACUUCAAAAAGAUCUGACCCGGCGCAUCUGUAAGCAGGGGCAGCUGCUUUGACAGAAGUCCGGAACAGACCCACAUUGUCAAAACCUUAACCGCUCUUGGAUAUUACACACUUGCUUGUAAAAACAGUAGGAAACAUCAUAGGACUACUCUCCAAACGCUGGUCUGCCGCUCCUUCAGAAAGCAUAAAUCUCAGUACCUGUUUUGAACAUUUGAUCUUCUAUUUCCUUGGCCCUUGGGAAGCAGAAGUUGCUUCUGGAAGUUCGUGUGUGGAAUGUGCUUUAAAAGAUAAAAAUGAAGAAGGAGAGUCUGUUUGUUUGCUCUAAUGCCAAAGGUUCCGGUAGACAAUCUGUGCAAAAGCAUCUCUGCGUUUCAAUCUCCGUUGCAUGCCCAAGCUGCACGUACCCCACCUCUCUGCUUCCCACGUGCACACCUGCAGGCUCUGGAGGACUCAGGUGCCCAGUGUCCUCCAGAAUGGACAAAACUGCUCAAGGUUGCCUACAAAGCUUUAAGAGGAUAAAAAGCGUUGCCGUGGCUUAUAUCUCGGUACUCAACUCCUUUUCUGCCCCCUGGGGAGUUCAGUAGUUCUGCAAAUAUUCCACACGAUGGAUGGGUUUCGAACCCAGGCUUAGAAACCAAAGAGCCUCCUGACUUGUGGUUUUUGUUGGCAAUUGACCUCACCUGGCAAGACCUGAGAGUCUUGGCUUCUGAAGGAAUCUUGUCCUUUCCUCUGAAGAAACAACAGAAAUGGAUGGAUUGAGAAGUAGUGCCUAAGUACAACUUCAGCUCUGCAGCAGUCAGAUAACGAGUCUGUCAGCUACGCCGUGUCAGCCUGGGAAGAGAUGAGACCGAGCAAGCCCUGGAAAGGAGAGGGUAGGAUUUGUGUCCUGAGAGGAAAAGGGAAACUAAACUAACAUGAAUAUCAUCGCUACCCCGAACGCCUUCCGUGAGCUGGCAGCGUUAAGACCUUAAAGUCUUGCUUAACUCGUACCUCCCAUCCUUGUGGCUCAUCUUUUUAUCUCUAGGUUCUGUACAAAGCACCAGAAGAGGUGAGGAAACCUAUCCAAGGUCAUGGAGGUGGUAGAGCUGACGCUCAAAUCCAAACAGAUUAUGCCAUAAGCUCCAGAGGGGAACUGGAGAUUCAUUUCCCCAUCACCGUGAAUGUCUACGAACUGGUCAGACCAAUGAAAGCACUUUCUCCACUCACCAUCUUGAAGCAACAAGAA